UACGUAGGGGGCAAGCGUUGUCCGGAAUCAUUGGGCGUAAAGCGCGCGUAGGCGGCCCGGUAAGUCCGCUGUAAAAGUCCAGGGCUCAACCCUGGAAAGCCGGUGGAUACUGUCGGGCUAGAGUCCGGAAGAGGCGAGUGGAAUUCCUGGUGUAGCGGUGGAAUGCGCAGAUAUCAGGAGGAACACCUAUAGCGAAGGCAGCUUGCUGGGACGUUACUGACGCUAAGGCGCGAAAGCGUGGGGAGCGAACAGG
rnacentral:rRNA from 1 species